rnacentral:rRNA from 1 species
AACGAACGCUGGCGGCAGGCUUAGCACAUGCAAGUCGAGCGAUGAAGUUUCUUCGGAAAUGGAUUAGCGGCGAACGGGUGAGGAACACGUGAAGAAUCUGCCCUCCACUUUGGGAUAACACAGGGAAACCUGUGCUAAUACCGAAUAUUGAAACAUAAGUGGCAUCACUGAGUUUUGAAAGAAUUUCGGUGGAGGAUGACUUCGCGGCCUAUCAGCUAGUUGGUGAGGUAAUGGCUCACCAAGGCAACGACGGGUAGCCGGCCUGAGGUGGCGACCGGGCACACUGGGACUGAGACACGGCCCAGACUCCUACGGGAGGCAGCAGUGGGGAAUAUUGCACAAUGGGCGCAAGCCUGAUGCAGCGACGCCGCGUGAGGGAUGACGGCCUUCGGGUUGUAAACCUCUUUCAGCACCGACGAAGCGCAAGUGACGGUAGGUGCAGAAGAAGGACCGGCCAACUACGUGCCAGCCGCCGCCGUAA